CCUACGGGUGGCUGCAGUGGGGAAUAUUGCACAAUGGGCGCAAGCCUGAUGCAGCCAUGCCGCGUGUGUGAAGAAGGCCUUCGGGUUGUAAAGCACUUUCAGCGGGGAGGAAGGCGGUGAGGUUAAUAACCUCAUCGAUUGACGUUACCCGCAGAAGAAGCACCGGCUAACUCCGUGCCAGCAGCCGCGGUAAUACGGAGGGUGCAAGCGUUAAUCGGAAUUACUGGGCGUAAAGCGCACGCAGGCGGUCUGUCAAGUCGGAUGUGAAAUCCCCGGGCUCAACCUGGGAACUGCAUUCGAAACUGGCAGGCUAGAGUCUUGUAGAGGGGGGUAGAAUUCCAGGUGUAGCGGUGAAAUGCGUAGAGAUCUGGAGAAAUACCGGUGGCGAAGGCGGCCCCCUGGACAAAGACUGACGCUCAGGUGCGAAAGCGUGGGGAGCAAACAGGAUUAGAUACCCCGGUAGUC
rnacentral:rRNA from 1 species